GUUUCUUCGAUGAGAUGGAGAGUCUGGCCUGCUCACUGAUAAAAUUGUUUAAGAGCCGCGGUAUAUUGACCGUGCAAAGGUAGCAUAAUCAUUAGAGGUUUAAUUGGAAUCUGGUAUGAAGGGUUGGACAAAGGAAAAACUGUUUCUAUAAUAUGUAUCGAAGUUUACUUUUAAGUGAAAAGGCUUAAAUAUAUCAGAGGGACGAUAAGACCCUAUAAAGCUUUAUAAGUUAUUUAAAUUUGGCUGAUUUAAGAUGAAUAAAAGCGGGGUUUAUUUAUUUUAUUUUAUUGGGGUGAUGUGAAUAUAAUUCUUAUUAACUGUUCAAGAGAAAUACUAUAAUAAGAGAAUUAAAGAAAUGAUCCUUAUUUUAAGAUUAAGAGACUAAGUUACUUUAGGGAUAACAGCGUUAUUUCUUUUGAGAGUUCAUAUCGAAAAAGAAGAUUGCGACCUCGAUGUUGAAUUAGAAUGUCUAUAUAAUGCAGCAGUUAUAAAAGAAGGUCUGUUCGACCUUUAAAAUUUU
rnacentral:rRNA from 1 species